GGCUGAGAGACGUCUUUGAGUAACAGUCACAACAGUCUCCUCGCCUCGGUCGUAGGCGAGGAGCGAGGACGGAUACGGUGAGGUUAACGGGACGCGGGCUGAGGGGGGGGGGGCACAGACCGCCCUGGAGGGGGACUCAGAGAGCAGACAUCACGUCGGUGGUGCUCUAAAAUUUCAUUUUUCUUCAGACGAGGAAGGUUACAUGGCGUGACUGUGUGGGAAUCGAAGGGCGAAUGUUGUGUACUGAUUGGAGCAACAGCAGAGUUUGGAGGACAGGCGUUGGGCCACCGAACACGCAGCACCUGUGUGAGAGGAUGCCAGUGAUGCAGCUCCACCACAGGACAGCGCGGUCGAUAACAGCACACAGCCUCUGAUGGAUUUAACACACCGUGUGUCUUCUCCCGUCGACCGACGGGCCGCUGUUUAACACGGCGCUCAGGACAACGUUUGACCGACUAGGAGCAAUAUGAACAAUAUGGAAGGGUUUGAGCCUGACUGUCGUCCCGCUCAGAGCUCGGCUCAGAGAUCUGCUCAGCCAGCGGAGAACACUAGUAGCUACAAGGAUGGGCUGGAUAGCACAGGGUCAUUUCUGCCUUGUUUAAAGUACUGUUGAUUUUAUAUUA
ensembl:lncRNA